UACGAAGGGGGCUAGCGUUGCUCGGAAUCACUGGGCGUAAAGGGUGCGUAGGCGGGUCUUUAAGUCAGGGGUGAAAUCCUGGAGCUCAACUCCAGAACUGCCUUUGAUACUGAAGAUCUUGAGUUCGGGAGAGGUGAGUGGAACUGCGAGUAUAGAGGUGAAAUUCGUAGAUAUUCACAAGAACACCAGUGGCGAAGGCGGCUCACUGGCCCGAUACUGACGCUGAGACGCGAAAGCGUGGGGAGCAAACAGG
rnacentral:rRNA from 1 species